GACGAGAUUAAAGCAGUGAUGCCA
rnacentral:siRNA from 1 species